GACGAACGCUGGCGGCGUGCUUAACACAUGCAAGUCGAACGGAAAGGCCCUGCUUUUGUGGGGUGCUCGAGUGGCGAACGGGUGAGUAACACGUGAGUAACCUGCCCUUGACUUUGGGAUAACUUCAGGAAACUGGGGCUAAUACCGGAUAUGAGCUCCUGCUGCACGGUGGGGGUUGGAAAGUUUCGGCGGUAGGGGAUGGACUCGCGGCUUAUCAGCUUGUUGGUGGGGUAGUGGCUUACGAAGGCUUUGACGGGUAGCCGGCAUGAGAGGGUUAACGGCCACAUGGGGCCUGAGAUACGGCGCAGACGCCUACGGGAGGCAGCAGUGGGGAAUAUUGCGCAGUGGGCGGAAGCGUGAGGCAGCAACGCCGCGUGCGGGAUGACGGGUUUCGGGUUGUAAACCGCUGUCGACUGUGACGAAGCGUGAGUGACGGUAAUUGGUAAAGAAGCACCGGCUAACUACGUG
rnacentral:rRNA from 1 species